rnacentral:tRNA from 1 species
AAGCAAGAAGUAAUAAAUUACAAUUAGUUUCGACCUAACCCUUGGAGUGAGCCCCCCUCCCUUGCUUC